rnacentral:rRNA from 1 species
UGAAGAGCUUGCUCUUCAAAUCGAGUGGCGAACGGGUGAGUAACGCGUGAGGAACCUGCCUCAAAGAGGGGGACAACAGUUGGAAACGGCUGCUAAUACCGCAUAAGCGCACAGCUUCGCAUGAAGCAGUGUGAAAAACUCCGGUGGUACAAGAUGGACCCGCGUCUGAUUAGCUGGUUGGUGAGGUAACGGCCCACCAAGGCGACGAUCAGUAGCCGGCCUGAGAGGGUGAACGGCCACAUUGGGACUGAGACACGGUCCAAACUCC